rnacentral:rRNA from 1 species
GAGAUGUGUGAUGACGCAUAUCAAUAAGCGGAGGAAAAGAAACUAACUAGGAUUCCCUCAGUAACGGCGAGUGAAGCGGGAGGAGCUCAAAUUUGAAAUCUUCAAGGUUCUACCUUGACGAAUUGUAGUUUAAAGAAGUGUUUUCUGUUGGAGUUUUGGUAAAAGUUCUUUGGAAUAGGACAUCAUAGAGGGUGAGAAUCCCGUAUUUGACCAUUAUUUCCAACUUUGUGAUACACUUUCAAAGAGUCGGAUUGUUUGGGAAUGCAGUCCAAAAUGGGUGGUAAAUUUCAUCUAAAGCUAAAUACUGGCGAGAGACCGAUAGCGAACAAGUACCGUGAGGGAAAGAUGAAAAGAACUUUGAAAAGAGAGUUAAACAGUACGUGAAAUUGUCAAAAGGGAAGCGUUUGACACCAGUGUUGUUUUCUCGAAAAUCAAUUAAAAAUGGCGGGAUUUUGUGUUGUAUUGACUUUAUCAGCUUUCUGCACUUUUUUCCUGUCUUUUUUAAUGCACUUUUCGUUUAACAAGUCAACAUCAAUUUCUUUUGUUGUAAAAGGGUCAUUGGAAGGUGGCUUUCUUUUCGGAGAAAGUGUUUAUAGCCUUUGGCUUCUGCAAUCGGAGAGAUUGAGGUCUGCAGCGUAGAUCCUUCGGGGUUAGAUGCAUUUGUGCUAAGCUAUAGCCUUUCAUAGACAACUUGUUGACUAUGAUCAGUCAUGUAGCUUACUCGCUUAUGCUAUUUUACCUACGCUUAGGAUGUUGACAGCAGUAUAGACUGU